GACUUCGCUGGACUUCUUCUGUAUGGGAACAGUGGCCUUGAAAAUGAGUCGGUCUUCACUUCCAGGCCUGGCUGGCGGGCUUCCCAGGGGGUGCACUGUCCAUCAGAGGUGACUUGGGGACCCCUGGAGGACUCCGGGUCAGCGACUGCAGAGCGCCGGGAUCCUGAAGGCGUCUGGGGCCUGGCCCCUGACGCAUGCGCCGUGCAAUCGCUUCCCUUAGGCUCCCUGCACAGAUGCUCAGAUUUUGCCCUGAUCCCGAGGCGGCCUGGGAAUUCAUUUCCUGCUGACUGCACUUCCGCUUCUGGAAGGUGAUAGGAAAGAAGCCAACGUGAAGACCCCGACCUUCUAAACUUCCUGAUGCCCAUUUUCGGAUUGAGACCCUCGGUUCUUCAUGACGAGCUCUCCGGAAGCCAGACAGCCUGGGUGCACUAGGAGGCCUUGUGGUAUUUCCCAGCAUCCCUUGGGAAUUAUGUGCCUCUUUGUUUUGGAAAGUGUGAUAGUUAACAGUGGUGUCAGCUUUAGGAAGAAAUGCCUGCUGAUUGGUUUAGCACGGUUCGGGUUGUGUCUGGAUGAUGGACAUACAGAAGGGGGAGGACUCACGCUGGGUGUGGGAGACACCAACCAAUGGGCUUCUACCCUGGGUGGAAUCAAAAGGGAAAGAAGGAAGUCUCCUUCUGUUGCUUCGGAGGAGCUCCAGUCUUCACCGUCACCUUUGGGCAUCCGUCUCCAGGCUUCCAGGACAGACCCUUAG
rnacentral:lncRNA from 1 species